rnacentral:rRNA from 2 species
CAUGCCAGUCGAACGGUGAAGCAGGAGCUUGCUCUUGUGGAUCAGUGGCGAACGGGUGAGUAACACGUGAGCAACCUGCCCCAGACUCUGGGAUAAGCGCUGGAAACGGCGUCUAAUACUGGAUACGAGUGGAGACGGCAUCGUCAUUCACUGGAAAGAAUUUCGGUCUGGGAUGGGCUCGCGGCCUAUCAGCUUGUUGGUGAGGUAAUGGCUCACCAAGGCGUCGACGGGUAGCCGGCCUGAGAGGGUGACCGGCCACACUGGGACUGAGACACGGCCCAGACUCCUACGGGAGGCAGCAGUGGGGAAUAUUGCACAAUGGGCGAAAGCCUGAUGCAGCAACGCCGCGUGAGGGAUGACGGCCUUCGGGUUGUAAACCUCUUUUAGCAGGGAAGAAGCGAAAGUGACGGUACCUGCAGAAAAAGCGCCGGCUAACUACGUGCCAGCAGCCGCGGUAAUACGUAGGGCGCAAGCGUUAUCCGGAAUUAUUGGGCGUAAAGAGCUCGUAGGCGGUCUGUCGCGUCUGCUGUGAAAUCCCGAGGCUCAACCUCGGGCCUGCAGUGGGUACGGGCAGACUAGAGUGCGGUAGGGGAGAUUGGAAUUCCUGGUGUAGCGGUGGAAUGCGCAGAUAUCAGGAGGAACACCGAUGGCGAAGGCAGAUCUCUGGGCCGUAACUGACGCUGAGGAGCGAAAGGGUGG